rnacentral:rRNA from 1 species
GACAAACGCUGGCGGCAUGCCUAACACAUGCAAGUCGAACGGACAGAACAGGGAAGCUUUUCGGAGUGGAACUGGAAAGUUAGUGGCGGAUGGGUGAGUAACGCGUGGACAACCUACCUUAUAAAGGGGAAUAACCUCGAGAAAUCGAAGCUAAUACCCCAUAAUAACCUUGCUUCGCAUGAAGUAAGGAGGAAAGGCGGCCUUAGCGCUGUCGAUACAAGAUGGGUCCGCGUCUGUUUAGCUAGUUGGUGAGGUAAAGGCUCACCAAGGCGACGAUCAGUAGCCGGCCUGAGAGGGUGAACGGCCACAUUGGGACUGAGACACGGCCCAAACUCCUACGGGAGGCAGCAGUGGGGAAUCUUCCGCAAUGGGCGAAAGCCUGACGGAGCAAUGCCGCGUGAGUGAAGAAGGCCUUCGGGUUGUAAAACUCUGUCCUUAUCGAAGAGAGAGUGUUGUAGUAACUGACAAUACUAGGACGGUAGAUGAGGAGGAAGCCCCGGCUAACUAUGUG